rnacentral:rRNA from 1 species
GAUUUGAUUAGUAAGGGCGACUGAAAAUCGAAGAGCUCACAAUGUGAAUCUGUACAACCACCUAAAUGGAUGUACCGAGUUGUGGUAUAUAGAAGCAUCAAUAGACAGUUUGGGUUAAGUUCCUUGGAACAGGACAGCUUAGAGGGUGACACUCCCGUCUAUACCUAAAUGUCAUGAUAUUGUGCUCUCUAUGAGUCGAGUUGCUUGGGAUUGCAGCUCAAAGUGGGUGGUAAAUUCCAUCUAAAGCUAAAUAUUGGUGGAAGACCGAUAGCGUACAAGUACCGUGAGGGAAAGAUGCAAAGAACUUUGAAAAGAGAGUUAAAGAGUACCUGAAAUUGCUGAAAGGGAAGCAAACUGGAAAAGUGCUGCUCUAUACCAUUCUACUCAUACUGCUUGCAGUUUGAGCGCUGUGGUAUAGGUCAUGCCAAUAUGAGUUUGGCUUGAGGCAAAUAGCUUUUAGUGUUGCCUUGAUCCAGACUGAGGUAGUCAUCUGCUCGUGAUGUUGGCAAAAUUUUCCAGUUUACCCCGUCUUGAAACACGGACCAAGGAGUUUAACAUGUGUGCGAGUACAGGAGUGACAAACUCCCAUGCGCAAUGAAAGUAAUAGUGGUAGGACCCCUGGGGCACUAUCCGCCGGUCAUAAUCCUUCGGGAGAAAGGUCUGAGUGUGAGCAUAAAUGUUGAGACCCGAAAGAUGAUGAACUAUGCCUGAAUAGGGUGAAGCCAGGG